rnacentral:lncRNA from 1 species
UUAGGCCUGAUGGAUUCUGUUGCGGUAAGCCGGGCCUGCGUCGCCUAACGGCGGGUGACGGGCGCGGGUUGGAUGAGACGAGGAGGUUUCGUGCUUUUGCGCCGGGGAAUGUACGUGCGUGCUGCCUGCCCCGAUGUCCUCUGCAAGACAAGGAAAGCGGAAUUUCCGUGGGAAUUCAACAAAUUGGACUCCUGAAUAUCUCGAAUGGCCUGACCUUCCAAGGGAAGCAUAGUCAUGUCAAAAAAAAACCUGCAUGCGUAUUGCGUGCUGGGGACCGCAGUACCUUCGCCGGAAAAUCUACGGCUAUGGAAGGUGUAGGUUCUUGCCAUGUGAGUUCCUAAACAGGACAUAGGAGAGGGCUGCAAGACCGAUGACUGGGAGCAUGCAGGAGAGUGACGUGGGCACUGGGCCGAGUGUCUCGGGCGCUGCUGGGUCUUUGGAAAGCGAGAGGGAGUGACAGAAGGGAACUCCUUUUAUGGGGAAGCAACCGUAUCCUGGUGGAUAUUCAUGUCUCCAUGAUGCAGCAGGGUUUGGCGCUACUGCAAGUCUUGCAAAUCAGCAGUUAUUUUUGAUAUCAGUGUGUCCAUUGCUGCUACUAGUACACCUGCUGCUGCUGCGGCUGUUGCUAACACUGCUAACACUGCUAUGGCACAGCGCUCUGAGCGCUAGGCCUAGAAGUAAUAAUUCAGCAGUUGCAGAUCAUGCAAGUUAUCAUCGCGUGAGUUGCUGGUAGCGGGAGUGCGCAUUUCAUUUGAAGAGCCUCAAAGCGCUGCUGUGCAUAUCGGUAUUUCAAUGAACACGUUUUUGCUUAGACGGCAUAGCGAGGUGGUGGGAGAGGUGAGGCCGAAGAUUCCCUUUUAGGAAUUACUGUUUCUCGUAUGAGGAGAGAGGGAGGCCCUCAACAUGUCACGGGUGCGGUGCAAGACCCUCGUUCUCUCGUUUGCACAAUGCACGCGCACAAGCGUAUGUUUGCUCCAUUCUUUGUGGGACCUUCCUUUGCUUGUCCCCUGCCUGGGCAUCAUCUCCUGUCGCAGUGCUCAAGUGGGAUAUUACCGGGUGUUUGUUACUCACUAGCUUACAUGGGUAUUGGAUGGGGCAUAGGUUGGCCAAGAAGCGCCGCGCUCGAGCAUUCCUGCUAGGGGUGUAGGCCACGCGACCUGUAUUGUGCGCGGACGAUGGCCGAUAAUAUUUGGCAUCCAGUAAAAACUUGUGGAUUUUUCCUGUAUUGUUGCAAAUUCUGCCCUGUUGUCUUGUGUUAUUUUUUCCUAUCGCCAGAGGAUGCUGGCAUUGGAUUUUGAUCAGGGGCUUCCCAUACAGGUGGUGGCACUAAGGGGGAUUACAGGAGUUGAUGCCUGUUCCGCAGCCCAAGAAGGAACUGUACGGAUGGGUGGCUAUGUGCUUGUGCGUCGGCUUGCAGUCCUUUGUCGGGUUGCCAUACCAGGGCGAGUUCAUGGCGAUAGGAGGCACUGUCGAUGGGAGAGGAAGAUUAAAUAACGCGCAUCUCACUGUUGCCCUACCCGCACGUCAGGAGCAAGUGGACAGAGCCCGACACGGAGGAUGCGCAUUCAACCAGUCUCAACAGGAAGUUUGCUUCAAGCAUUCUGUCCGAACCGUAUAAUUAUAUGCUUCCGUCACUGUCUGGCUCGCGGUGCUCACAAAAACACAUGUCCCAAGUAUCUUUACCAAGGGACACCACAACCAAGCGCACACAUACAACACAAAUCCUCCUGCUGUUGCGAGAACACGUUAAAACGACAACAGAUCCUUCGCCCGAAAGUCUGAUAUCCACAUGGGAAAUAUCCCUACAUAUCAACCUCCAAAGCAAACUACGAACGUAGCAAGCCAACCUUAGCUCUGGAGCUCAAAGAUUCGCAUCAGACGCAGAGGAGCAUAGUCCAGUUAAAACUAUGUCGUCCUAUGAUUCAUGGGACAAGAUCUGAAGCCACGAUCUGUACCUGCAAGUCUGCGUGCGGCCUCUGUACUCUACACGGUAGGCCACCUGUCCUAUACCAUCAUGAAGCAUCAAUCCCUCGUCAUUUCUGGCCAGGCUCUCUGCGCACGCGAGGAGAUUCUUAUUGUGUCCUACGCCCACAUGUACCCCUACCACAAGCGGACGGUCAAGUCCGGUUUGAGCUAACACUUCGACAAGGUUGUGUUGGCUACGCAUACGCGCAUGAGUACCACAGGCCGCAAGCUGCCACGGCGUCAUAGGGAAUAACAGCGGUCAAGAACUACCCAUGCACAGACCGACGCGACGAACUGUUGUAAAAUCGGUUCCUUGUUCCCCCUACCACUACUCACCGUCG